UACAGAGGUCCCAAGCGUUUGUUCGGAUUUACUGGGCGUAAAGGGAGCGUAGGUGGCAUUCUAAGUCUGAUGUGAAAGCUCUGAGCUUAACUCAGAAAUGGCAUUAGAAACUAGUUUGCUAGAGGAUUGGAGGGGAGAUUGGAAUACUUGGUGUAGCAGUGAAAUGCGUAGAUAUCAAGUGGAACACCAGUGGCGAAGGCGAAUCUCUGGACAUGAUCUGACGCUGAGGAGCGAAAGUGUGGGGAGCGAACAGG
rnacentral:rRNA from 1 species